UCAACACACAUCCAGAGAUGAAGUCACUUUUAUGGAAAUGAGGAGGAGAAGCGGGAGGUAGGAUGGAGGCAAGAAACCAACAACAGAUGAGGAGAGAUCGUAGAGAUGUUUUCAGGAGGAGACAGCUGUGGAAUCCAACCAGGAGAGACGAAUGAGCAGCAUGGAGAUUCACACAGAAAGGAUUUCUCAGUGGGGAUGGAAACACCAGGGUUCCUGGGAGAACUGCAGAGAAACACAGAUUGUCUUCAGCCCUAGUCUCAACGAUUCAGUGGUUCUUCCAAGUUCAAGCACCAAGUUUUGACCGAAGACCUGAUUCUGGACUCUGAUUUCUUCUCUUGACCUUCUUGCACACAACUGUCCACUUUCUGUGUGGAUUCUGCAUGUUCUCCCUAUUCAUGCAUGUUUUUUCUGAAAACAUGCAUGCUAGUUAACUGGUAACAAGGUGAGAGUAAGAAC